GCCUAAUGGGGUCUGACCUCACCCUGUUUGGAGGUGGCCUUGUAAGAGCAAGAGCAAGGUCCACCAGAGAACAUCUGUUAACCUCUUCCCCAGCUCUUAGAGAAAAGAGCUGGAACCACAAAUUUACAGACACUGCUGAGGCCUGGGACCACCCAGUGGGGAGAUCUCUGGUGGAGGGAGCAGAGGAAGGAAAGAGGAAGGAUAUCAAAGAGUUGCAGAGUCAGAGGAGAAGGGAUGGCCCCGAGAGCACUGACAAUGUGUGUGGUAUGGUCUCUGCCCAGGCCAGCAGCAAGGGAAUGGAGGAGGACUUCCCUCUCUGCACAAGAAGUGAAUCUGGAGAAGAGACACCUGGCGUAUUUAGAGAGCCAAUGGCUCCUUCAUCUCCAAAGGAAUCUUGGGAACUUGCUGCCAUACAGGAUGGUGAUCAGUUGGACUGCUGGAAUGCACAGGUUGAUUCCCUAAGAUUAUCUUUGGGCUUUGGGGACAUUUGCAUCACAUGUUAAAAACUGGUGAAAAUUCAUUUAAUUUUUUAAUUUUUAAUUUUUUUCUUUUGUCCUUUUAGUGCUGCACCUGUGGCAUAUUCCCAGGCUAGGGGUCUAAUGGGAGCUGUAGCUGCUGGCCUAUGCCAGAGCCACAGCAACGCCAGACCCGAGCUGUGUCUGUGACCUACACCACAGCUCAUGGCGAUCCUUAACCCACUGAGCCAGGCCAAGGAUCAAAGCCGCAACCUCAUGGGUCCUAGUUGGAUUCCUUUCCGCUGCACCAUGACAGGAACUCCUGAAAAUUUAUUUUUAUUUUAAAAUUUCUUACAAGUAUUUCAUCUGUCAUGAGAGAAAAUAAAAAAUUCCAAAGGGAAAAAUGCACACAUUGCUGUGCUCCAUGUCCGAAAAAGCAAAGUGAAUACUUAUCUGCUGCCAAUAUGCUUAAUUAGGGUAGACAAGGGAGGAAACACUUAAAAUUAUGGUUUUGAAAAAAGCCACUGAAGUAAAUAGGCAUGACAUUGAGUGGUCAGACAUCUAUUCCCAAAUUUUUUUUUUUUUUUUUUUUGUCUUUUUAGGGCCAUACCCGCAGCAUAUGGAGGUUCCCAGGCUAGGGGUUGAAUCAGAGCUACAGCUGAUAGCCUAUGCCACAGCCACAGCAACACGGGAUCUGAGCUGUGUCUGCGACCUGUACCACAGCUCACAGCAAUCCUUGAUCCUUAACCCACUGAAUGAGGCCAGGGAUUGAACCUGCUCAUGCAUACUAGUUGGAUUUGUUUCCUCUAAGCCACAAGGGGAACUCCCUGAUUUUUUUUAAUGCAUCUUUUUACUAUGUUUGUUUUAUAAAAAGAGGAACUCAAAGAGACAAAGUGGGCAUUAAGUAUUUUUAUAAAAUAUUCUGUAGAUUUAACAAUGCAGCUCUUUAAAAUUUUUCACUCCUGUAAAACAGAGAGCAAGAUUUUAUUAUUAAUAGCGGAC
rnacentral:lncRNA from 9 species